rnacentral:rRNA from 1 species
UACACACCGCCCGUCACACCAUGGAAGUUGGUUGCACCAGAAGUCGGUCGCUUAACCGCAAGGAGAACGCCGCCCACGGUGUGGCUAAUGACUGGGGUG